CUUUUUUUAAUAGUAUUGUAGAAACAAUAUAAUUAUAUAUCUAUAAAAUGGUGGAUCACAUGGUACAGGAUGCUGAGUUUGCUUUUUGUAUCUGCAACUCUAUCACACUUAGUCAAUGGCUGCUGUUUUUCAAACUGUGCUUUUGUAUGGUUAGGAAGGCCAAACUUAACAAAAAACUUACCAGUGUAUUCUGUGGUGUCAUGGGAGCAGAAUGGGAGAAAAAAAUUGUUUGUUACAAUGUUGAGUUUGCCCUUCAUAUCUACAAUGCCUCAUAUAAAAAGUAUUUCCAGUUUAUGACCAUUUCAACUUAAAGCUUUGUCGUUGGAACUGAAUCCUUUCUAAAGUCAAAGAUUAACUUUAAAUUCAUUUGAAGAUGGUAGUCAUUACUCCAACUUUAAAUAUUUGCC
rnacentral:lncRNA from 1 species